rnacentral:lncRNA from 1 species
GUGAUGAAUUCUUCCAGAACUACGUUCAUCCAUCAAGGCAGUGGAUUCCCUUCUGAUCCAAGGUGGACCUAGAAACACCAUCAAGGAGCAAAGAAAUCCGGGGCUUUUGGAAUCUGCUUGGUGCUUUAUUUUACUGUGGCUGAGCUGGUACCCAACGUACAAAACACAGUUUUCUUUACUCUUCCCUCAUCUUUCCCCCAGCAGGAGUCUAUCCCAGAGUUACACUGCCUGGAGUUGGUGGAUAGGCAACACAGGUACUCCACUGGCUGCCACAACUGGUGUUGCAUUGGGUAACAACCAAAGUCCACUGUCUCUGAGGUUCUGGGGUACAUGUGCAGAUUAUGCAGGAUUGUUACAUAGGUACAUACGUGGCAAGGUGGUUUGCUGCCUUCCUCCACUCAUCACCUAUAUCAGGUAUUUCUCCCCACUUUUUACCUCCCCUAGUUUCCCCCAACUGACCGCAGUGUGUGGUGCUCCCCUUCCUGUUCACAUGUUCUAAUUGUUCAACACCCACCUAUGAGUGAUACCAUGCAGUGUUUGAUUUUCUGUUCUUGUGUCAGUUUGCUGAGAAUGAUGGUUUCCAGAUUCAUCCAUGUCCCUAUGACAGACAGGAACUCAUUGUUUUUUUAUGGCUGCUUAAUAUUCCAUGGUGUAUAUGUGCCACAUUUUCUUUAUCCAGUCUAUCAUUGAUGGACAUUUGGGUUGGUUCCCGGUCUUUACUAUUGUAAACAGUGCUGCAAUGAACCUAUGUAUGCAAGUGUCUUAUUAAUAGAAUAAUUUAUAAUUAUUUGUAAAUAUACCCAGUAAUGGGAUUACUGGGUCAAAUGGAAUUUCUAUUUCUAGGUCCUUGAGGAAUCGCCAGACUGUCUUCCACAAUGGUUGCACUAAUUUGCACUCCCACCAACAGGGUAAAAAUGUUCCUAUUUCUCCACAUC